rnacentral:rRNA from 1 species
UUUCGCAAUGCCCGAAAGGGUGACGAAGCGACGCCGCGUGAGCGAAGAAGGCCCUAGGGUUGUAAAGCUCUGUCGGGGGUUAUGAAAUGUAGACUGGCUAAUACCCAGUUUAUUUGACAAAGGCCCCAAAGGAAGCCACGGCUAACUCUGUGCCAGCAGCCGCGGUAAUACAGAGGUGGCAAGCGUUGUUCGGUAUUAUUGGGCGUAAAGAGCACGUAGGUGGUUUUGUAAGUCAGAUGUGAAAGCCUUCUGUUCAAAGGAAGAACGGCAUCUGAAACUGCAGAUCUUGAGUGUAGGAGGGGAGAGUGGAACUUCUGGUGGAGCGGUGAAAUGCGUAGAUAUCAGAAGGAACGUCGGCGGCGAAAGCGACUCUCUGGCCUAUUACUGACACUGAGUGUGCGAAAGUUAGGGGAGCAAACGGGAUUAGAUACCCCGGUAGUCCUAACUGUAAACGAUGGGCACUAAGUAGAGGGGUUUUA